rnacentral:lncRNA from 1 species
AUGAAAAGACACUUUGGAAAGAAGAUUUCUAGAACUGCUUCAGAAAUUUGGGUCAUGGACCAAGGUCAACAUUGUGCCUGUGGUUUGGAUGUGGCUAUCGGCUCUGACAGGAUGACACAGCCCGCAUGAAGAUCCUAAUCGGGAAACUGCUCACCAAGGAAGUCAAAAGGAAAGAAAGAAGCAGACUGGGUCUGAGGCUCCCAGAGGUAUGUAGCACUCUCUUCCAUAGCCACAGCAAUCCUCUCUU